UAGCGAAGGGGGCUAGCGUUGUUCGGGAAUUACUGGGCGUAAAGGGCGCGUAGGCGGCCUUGUCAGUCAGACGUGAAAUCCCCAGGCUUAACCUGGGAACUGCGUCUGAUACUACAAGGCUUGAGUUCGGGAGAGGAAUGUGGAAUUCCAGGUGUAGCGGUGAAAUGCGUAGAUAUCUGGAGGAACACCGGUGGCGAAGGCGGGCAUUCUGGACCGAAACUGA
rnacentral:rRNA from 1 species